rnacentral:rRNA from 1 species
CCUUCGGGUGGGGAAUAACAGUCGGAAACGGCUGCUAAUACCGCAUAAUGCAGCGGCAUCAUAAGAUGACAGUUGUUAAAGCGGGGAUCGUAAGACCUCGCGCCUGAAGAGAAGCCUGCGGUGGAUUAGGUAGUUGGUGAGGUAAUGGCUCACCAAGCCCGCGAUCCGUAACCGGCCUGAGAGGGCGGUCGGUCACACUGACACUGACAUACGGGUCAG